rnacentral:rRNA from 1 species
GGCGGCGUGCUUAACACAUGCAAGUCGAGCGGUAAGGCCCCUUCGGGGGUACACGAGCGGCGAACGGGUGAGUAACACGUGAGCAACCUACCCUUCACUUCGGGAUAAGCCUCGGAAACGGGGUCUAAUACCGGAUAUCACUACUCGCUUCAUGGUGGGUGGUUGAAAGUUCUGGCGGUGGGGGAUGGGCUCGCGGCCUAUCAGCUUGUUGGUGGGGUAAUGGCCUACCAAGGCGUCGACGGGUAGCCGGCCUGAGAGGGCGACCGGCCACACUGGGACUGAGACACGGCCCAGACUCCUACGGGAGGCAGCAGUGGGGAAUAUUGCGCAAUGGACGAAAGUCUGACGCAGCAACGCCGCGUGAGGGAUGACGGCCUUCGGGUUGUAAACCUCUUUCAGCAGGGACGAAGCGAGAGUGACGGUACCUGCAGAAGAAGGACCGGCCAACUACGUGCCAGCAGCCGCGGUAAUACGUAGGGUCCGAGCGUUGUCCGGAAUUAUUGGGCGUAAAGGGCUCGUAGGCGGUUCGUCACGUCGGGAGUGAAAACUCGGAGCUCAACUCCGAGCCUGCUUCCGAUACGGGCAGACUAGAGGUAGGCAGGGGAGAGCGGAACUCCUGGUGUAGCGGUGGAAUGCGCAGAUAUCAGGAAGAACACCGGUGGCGAAGGCGGCUCUCUGGGCCUUACCUGAC